rnacentral:rRNA from 1 species
GAAAAGAACUUUGAAAAGAGAGUUAAACAGUACGUGAAAUUGUUGAAAGGGAAACGAUUGAAGCCAGUCGUACCGACGGAAAAUCAACUUCUCGGGUGCUUAUCAUGGGUGACGUUGAGCCUCACGGUCUUCGUUGCUUGUGUUAUUGGUACCUUUGUUGUGCACUUUUUCGUAUGGUAGGUCAACAUCGAUUUUGAUCGUCAUAAAAUGAUUGGAGGAAUGUAGCUUUGAUUUCGAUCGAAGUGUUAUAGCCUUUGGUAUAUGUGACGAUUGGGAUCGAGGAUUGCAACGAAUACCCUUUGGGCUAUCCGUCUGGCCUCUGAAAGUCGCUUGGGUGUCGAAAGCGUGCUUAUGGCAUACAAGUUGACGGUCAACAGGUUAGAACGUGAUUACAUUCGUU